AAAAUAAGAAGAUGUGGUAUAAUUUCAAAUGAGAUGUCUGUUUAUUACAAGCUAUAGCUACUGGUAGAAAAAGCUCCUGUAAAAUUAAAUUUUAUCAAGGUUGGGAGAGGACUUGUUAUCUGAAAGACAGAGAAAACACAAAAUCCUUCAACAUGAUUUUUUUUUAUAUCAAUGUCACGAUUCAGCAACUUUUCAAUAUUCCCCACUAUAGCAUCCGACAAACGAACGAAACAGUUGUUUUUUUUUAGUAAGAACAACAUUUUUAUCAAACCA
rnacentral:lncRNA from 1 species